UACGGAAGGGGCAAGCGUUGUUCGGAAUCAUUGGGCGUAAAGGGCGCGUAGGUGGUUCUGUAUGUCUACCGUGAAAGCGUACGGCUCAACCGUAUUUUGUCGGUGGAAACUGCAGGACUUGAGGCUGGGAGGGGCUGGUGGAAUUCCCUGUGUAGCGGUGAAAUGCGUAGAUAUCGGGAGGAACACCAGUGGCGAAGGCGACUUCCUGGCCUGUUCUUGACGCUGAGGCGCGAAAGCUAGGGGAGCGAACAGG
rnacentral:rRNA from 1 species